CAAAUUGGACUGGAGGAAUUUUUUUUAACUCAUUAUGUAAUAGUUAUAAGACCACCCACGUGUUUAGCCAACCCCAGGCUGGCAGUGAUAUCGGUAGCAUAGGUAUGCGAUGCACUUAAUUCUUCAUAUCAGGGAUGAUUGUUUCUUUAAGCUUUCAAUCUAUGCAAUAUGUUAUUAAUUAUAUAUAGAUUAAUGCUUUAUCUCUUCAAAAUUGAUAUUACAACUCCUAUGAUAGUAUCAAUCUGCAUAUUCAUUAUACUUUUGCUGACACAGACCCUCAAUUCAGGCCAUGGUAACCAUUAUCAUAACUACAUACUCAUCUAUCUUGUUUUUGUCAGUUGCUUUAUGAAAGAAACUGUUUUGACUGUUGCAUUUGGCAUUGUGAGAUUCUUAUUGACAUUAUAUACGUAUUUCAGUUGUAACUGUUACUGAUUGGUCUUUUUUUUCACUCUUGUAGCAAACUCACCACCUCAUGCAGGCUAUACAAAUGAUAGUGCAGGACAAUCUCACUUAACACCUCAUAGGGAUCAUGGCUUGAGGAGAAAAAAUUACAUGCUGAAUCGUCCAGUAGGUCCGAUGAUCAACAAACACAGCCAGCCUAAGCCACAGCAGCCCAUACUAAGUUUCAACCAGUCAUAUCAUUUACUGCAGCCGCAGCAGACAACUAGCCAAGCCCAGCCCUCCCAUCCUCAGGCUGACACUGCAGGACAAUCACUCACCUACAAACUCUGUCAUGGGGUGCAGUAAUUAUAAGUCAGGUUGUCCAUCAGGUCCUGUGAUCAACAAUCCUGGUCCACAGCAGCAGAUUCAGGAGGCCCCAGAAUGCCACAACAACCAACCAUGCAAGUCAGUGUGCAAAAGAGGUGUCGAGGCCCUUCAUGAUGCCGCUUCUUGUGGGACUUGUCUGAAUCUGAUGGUGAGCGAAUAGAUGUUUCAAUCAACAGAUUUGGGCAGCCCAUUGGCCGUGAGGCUGCCAAGCUCAGCAGUUUCAUGGGUACCAUAGCACAGAAUGGCUACAUUGCACCCCUUACUUAUGUCAGCUGGAGGGCUGUACCGGAUGCAGCCAAAGAGGAUAUGUGGCAGAUCUUCCAGUCAAGUUUCAACAUUGAUCCAAAGGGAAAAAGUUGGGUCAUGAAGUCUCUUGCAACAAAAUGGAGGAGCUUUAAGUUCCAUAGUAAAGGCUAAACAUGAGCAACUGAGGGUCCUUCUGCAUCAAUGGCCAAUCCUCAUAUCCCACUGGAACUCUGAAAGGGAACAGGUGUGAACUGCUAUAAAUAAGGCUUGCCGCGCAAAGAUGGAGGAUGUGCAUACUUUAGGGAGUAAGAGCUAUGUGAGGUUACGUGAGGAGGAGAGGGAGAAGAGGCCAAAUGGGGAGGAGCCAACUAGGGAUGAGGUUUAUAUAUUAACCCACACACAUAAAGAUGGGAAACCUGUUAAUGAGGAAGCAGCAGCCAAAAUUGACCAUGAGGGUUUGAGGGCAAAAUCUUUCAGUUCCUUAGAAUUGCAUGUACAUGUCUUAACUCCUCUGCUGGUCAAAGGCCAACAAUGCUUGAAUUACACUGAGACAUUGAGGAAAUCUGAAAUUGCUACGCCAAUUACCUUGCAUCAAAUUGUUGAGAUGCAUCUUCAUAUUCUAGAUCUGUUGGUGGACUACUUGUGUAGCUACUAUUUGUAAGAGUAUGAUCAACUGCUUAUGGGCAAUACUCAGCCAUCGUUUUUAAUAAUAAAGAGUUACCCUAUCAAUUUGUUGUU